rnacentral:snoRNA from 1 species
GUGCAUAUGAUGAAUUAACUCGGAUUCCCCUUCAAGACAUCAUGGGUGAUGCAAGAUCGAGUUGUCUGAUGCA